rnacentral:rRNA from 1 species
AGAACGAACGCUGGCGGCAGGCUUAACACAUGCAAGUCGAGCGAGGACUUCGGUCCUAGCGGCGGACGGGUUAGUAACGCGUGGGAACGUGCCCCUUUCUUCGGAAUAGCCUCGGGAAACUGGGAGUAAUGCCGGAUACGCCGGGUCGUAGAGAUACGGUCCGGGAAAGAUUUAUCGGAGAGGGAUCGGCCCGCGUUGGAUUAGGUAGUUGGUGGGGUAAUGGCCUACCAAGCCGACGAUCCAUAGCUGGUUUGAGAGGAUGAUCAGCAACACUGGGACUGAGACACGGCCCAGACUCCUACGGGAGGCAGCAGUGGGGAAUAUUGGACAAUGGGCGCAAGCCUGAUCCAGCCAUGCCGCGUGAGUGAUGAAGGCCUUAGGGUUGUAAAGCUCUUUCAGUGGGGAAGAUAAUGACGGUACCCACAGAAGAAGCCCCGGCUAACUUCGUGCCAGCAGCCGC